rnacentral:misc_RNA from 1 species
AGUCGUAACAAGGUUUCCGUAGGUGAACCUGCGGAAGGAUCAUUAUCGAGUUUUGAACGGGUUGUCUGCUGGCUCGCAAGGGCAUGUGCACGCCUGUCUCAUCCACUCUCAACUUCUGUGCACUUUUCAUAGGCCGGCUUGUGGGUGCGUUCGCGCACUUGUAGGUGUCGGGCUUAUGCUUUAUUACAAACGAUUCAGUUUUAGAAUGUCAUACUUUGCUAUAACGCAAUUUAUAUACAACUUUCAGCAACGGAUCUCUUGGCUCUCGCAUCGAUGAAGAACGCAGCGAAAUGCGAUAAGUAAUGUGAAUUGCAGAAUUCAGUGAAUCAUCGAAUCUUUGAACGCACCUUGCGCUCCUUGGUAUUCCGAGGAGCAUGCCUGUUUGAGUCUCAUGGAAUUCUCAACCUUCAGCUUUAUUGAUGAAGGCUUGGACUUGGAGGUCGUGCCGGCUCUCGUAGUCGGCUCCUCUGAAAUGCAUUAGUGCGAACGUUACCAGCCGCUUCAGCGUGAUAAUUAUCUGCGUUGCUGUGGAGGGUAUUCUAGUGUUCACGCUUCUAACCGUCUUCGGACAAAUUUCUGAACUCUGAGCUCAAAUCAGGUAGGACUACCCGCUGAACUUAAGCAUAUCAAUAAGCGGAGGAA